UUGAACGCUGGCGGCAGGCCUAACACAUGCAAGUCGAACGGUAACAGGAAGAAGCUUGCUUCUUUGCUGACGAGUGGCGGACGGGUGAGUAAUGUCUGGGAAACUGCCUGGUGGAGGGGGAUAACUACUGGAAACGGUAGCUAAUACCGCAUAACGUCGCAAGACCAAAGAGGGGGACCUUCGGGCCUCUUGCCAUCGGAUGUGCCCAGAUGGGAUUAGCUAGUAGGUGGGGUAACGGCUCACCUAGGCGACGAUCCCUAGCUGGUCUGAGAGGAUGACCAGCCACACUGGAACUGAGACACGGUCCAGACUCCUACGGGAGGCAGCAGUGGGGAAUAUUGCACAAUGGGCGCAAGCCUGAUGCAGCCAUGCCGCGUGUAUGAAGAAGGCCUUCGGGUUGUAAAGUACUUUCAGCGGGGAGGAAGGGAGUAAAGUUAAUACCUUUGCUCAUUGACGUUACCCGCAGAAGAAGCACCGGCUAACUCCGUG
rnacentral:rRNA from 1 species